CUUUGAUCUUGGAUAUUGCCUACUACUGAAAACUACUAACUAACGUUUCUCCUUCUCAUCAUUUUACAUUCAGAUUUGGAUGAAUGGACCAACCAGACCCUCAAGACUGCCAUGGGCAAGUCCCUUGAAGGGCAGGAAUGGUGGCAGGACAACCUGAAGGUAAUUCUCUUUGCACACAACAGCAGUGUCCAGGCCUCCAGAGUACUCACCCUAUCGCCUGGUGUACGGGCGGGAGCCGCAGCUGUUUACUGAGGUGAGACUGAACAUGGACAAGGCGCAGGAGAAACAGAAGGAGAGCCACCGGAGGAGAAUCAAGAAGGGGACCAAGUGCUUUGACAUCCGGGUGAAUGACUUGGCUUGGAAGAAGGACAAAAGGAGGGUGAGACCUGGGAAACCUUGCUGCUCUUUUGCUCCUAGCUGGGGUCCCCAUCUGUUAAGGUGAAUAUAAAAAUCUCAGAUGAUAACUCUUUGCAUUUGUCUCCUCGUGGUGGGCGGCAUCGCCAUGCUGUCAGCAGUAGCAACACUGGCCAACUACUGGGUCACGUUAAGUAACCUCAACUUCCUGGUAGGUACUGUUAAGGUGUAUGACUCCACUGGUCAUGACACCACCCUGGAGUUUCUCUCACAAAUUACAGACAGGUAUCUACAGCUAUUGUUAUUGUCAUGUUGUCAUUAGCUUCUAAGAAAGAGCAAGAAAACUAUCAUACUGGGCACAUAUUGUGUGAUAUACAGAUGCACAUACUAGCACUACGAACACUCGGAACAAAGAGAGCAUCAGUGCCUGGACUUCGCAGUCUCCCUCUUCCGAGUCCCCCUUCUGAGACUGGCUGCCUGUUGAGAACAAGUGACAGGCAAAACCUCCCACCCACACAGCACCCACCUCCUCUCUAUUCCACACACCAGAAUUCAGUAUUUCAGUUUUUGAUUGCCAUGUGAGUGUACAACAAAUCUGUGAAAGUAAAUUGACACGCGUACAAAAAAAUACAGACGUUUAUAUUUAAAUCUUAAAUAUUGCCAGAUUGGUUUCAACAACUGUUUCACAAGGUGUUCAUUAUUGUACAUUUGAACUUAUCCCUUGAUGGUAUUUGCUAGUUCUACAUUAUUAAUUGUUAUACCCUAGGACCUAAAAUAGAUAUAUAUUCAACCACAAGGGUGUACUAAUGAGCUAUGAUUUUUU